UACGGAGGAUGCGAGCGUUAUCCGGAUUUAUUGGGUCUAAAGGGUGCGUAGGCGGAUUAAUAAGUCAGUGGUGAAAUCCUGCAGCUUAACUGUGGAACUGCCAUUGAUACUGUUAGUCUUGAGUAUGGUCAAGGUAGGCGGAAUGUGUAAUGUAGCGGUGAAAUGCUUAGAUAUUACACAGAACACCGAUUGCGAAGGCAGCUUACUGGGCCAUUACUGACGCUGAUGCACGAAAGCGUGGGGAUCGAACA
rnacentral:rRNA from 1 species